CGGUUCAUACCUAGUAGUUGGGUUUUCAUUUACGCUGAAUUAUUGUGUCGUGCAAUUCGACUUGGACCGA
rnacentral:tRNA from 1 species